CUUGUUGGCACCGGAAGUCAGCCACUUCCGGAUCUCGUAUCGCUCUCUACUACCUGGACUCUUCUCCAGCCUUUAUGUGGUGUGGGCUCCGGGACGGACCAAGGGCUGACCCCGCUGGAGAGAGAGCUCCAACCUCUGAGAAGUCUGCCAAGGUGAACACGAUGGCUCCUGUGCUCCUGACCUCCAGGGAUCACCAAGCUUCUUGUGACAAUUUAUGUAGCAGCCCUUGCUAACGAUACGUGUACGACGCAUAGUGUGAGCGGUGCCCCUCAGCUGGUCUCAAGGACAAACACCCACCAGACCCUCCACCCUCAGCCUGCUGUCACCCAAUUAAUUCUUUAUCUCUCUGCAUUCGAAAGGCAGUCUAUGGGUAUGUUCUCGAAUGGCCUCAGAAAUUACUAAAAGCGUGAAACUCUCCCUACUUAGCUCCAGCACCCACCUUAGGAGAACUGGGGACAUCUCCUCAGCCAGGUUUCUUCUCUCCCUUCAUCUCCAACGGUGAAUUGAUUGGCCUUGACAAACAUCACUCUUACCAGCCAUGAGAUUUGUUAAUAGAAACAGAAAAAAUUUAACAGCACAUCAGCUACGAAGGGAAUUGGAGCCAAAGUCUUCCCGGUGCCCUGGGGAAAGGAGUCGCUGAUCAAGUGACAUUCCUCUUGCCGCCUCUGUCGUGGGCAGGAGGACGGGCGGCGUGCCCAUCGGCAGAUCCUUGGAGGUCUUCUUAUCGGUUGUCAUCUC
rnacentral:lncRNA from 1 species